rnacentral:rRNA from 1 species
CCCUUAGACGUUCUGGGCCGCACGCGCACUACACUGACCAGUGCAACAAGCAUCCGUCCUUGGCCGACAGGCCCGGGCAAUCUUUGAACGCUGGUCGUGAUGGGGAUAGACUUUUGCAAUUUUUGGUCUUCAACGAGGAAUUCCUAGUAAACGCAAGUCAUCAACUUGCAUUGAUUACGUCCCUGCCCUUUGUACACACCGCCCGUCGCACCUACCGAUUGAAUGGUCCGGUGAAGCCUCCGGAUUGGCGCGCACCUCGGUGCCGCCGAGAAGUUGGCUAAACCUUACCAUUUAGAGGAAGGUGAAGUCGUAACA